rnacentral:lncRNA from 1 species
CACUAAUCUUGUGGCCACGUCCCCCAAUACUCUUUCCUUGGCUGCUUUCACUCUGAGUGUCUGCUUUUCUUUUUCUUCCUCUGGAAGGUUCUGACUGUUUCUUCUCUGGAGUCUCUGAUUCUUUAUCACUUAAAGAUCCCAAGCUUCCAAAACUGUGGUUCGAACUUUCAUUAUUUGUUGAGGCUUUAGCUCCAACACUGCAACUUCCAGUACUCCCAGUGCUGCCACUUACUACUCCUGUGAAUCUUGCCUCUAACAAUUCUUGUCUUCUUGGGUCCAGGCUAUGAAGUUCAUCCAUUGCUCCUUCCUUGGGCGGCUUGCCGGGCGGCGCGCCGUGCAGCUGGGAGGCCGCCGCGGAGCAGCCCUGCAGGCUCGGUGGGGACGUGGAGAGCCGGGACCAAGAUGGCGGCCCCUCCAAACUUCCACUGCUACUUUGGACACUCAUCAAGCUACUUUCCUGGAGCCUGGCAGCCGCCGGGGGCGGCGGGGGAGGCGGCGCGGCGGGGGGACACCCAGCGCCGCGCUCAUGGCCGGGGGGCCGGCCCGACACCGGCGCGGGGAGGCCGCCGGCGGGCGGAGGGCUCCGGAGGCAGGCGGGGCGCGGGAGGGACGGGGCGCGGGGCCGGCGCGACCCGCCCGCACCUCUGCACUGCGUCGCCGCGGCCGCCGCCGCCGAGCAGCCGCCCGUGUCUGAGGCUGAGGCUAACCUUCCCCGCCGCCGCCGCCGCCGGGGGGGAGGGGAGGGCGCAGGCGGGGAGGGGUCAUGCGCAAACACGAUCGCGAGCCGAACGAGCGCCGCGCUCCGCCGGCGCCCAGCCGAGCCGAGCAGCGCCGAACCGGAGCCGCCCAGGGGCGGCGGGCGGGAGCAGCGCCCCCGCGCACGCACCUGCCCCGGCCGCGGCCGGCCCCCUCCCCACGCCCCCGCCCCCCCCGCCGCCGCAGCCUCGCUCUCGCUGGCGGAGCCGCGGGCGAACCCUCCGCGCAAUGCUCUCGGGGGGGAGCGCGCCGCGGGCCCCGUGCCGGUCACGGUGCCGGGGCCGCGGGGAGCGCCGAGGCGCGGCAGGGCCGAGCCGCGUGCCAUGUGCCAAGCGCCUCCUCCGCCUGCGCGCCCCGCACCGCGCGCCCUCGGGCCGGAGCGCGGCAUGGCCGCGUCCAAAGCCCGGCUGCUCUUCUUUUCCCUACCGCCAGCGCGGUCUCUGCUGAGAACGCGAGAGACGGGGAAAAGUCAGGUCUGGAACAAAGCCUUUCCAGUUGCGAGCGUAACUUAAUGGUUUCGUUUACUUGGAAGAGCCGUGGCUUACGAAUGGAUCGCAGUUGCAUGCGGGAAUAAGGAUCCCCACGUGCUGGGCACGGCGCUCCCGUACGCUGAGCGGCCCCCCGGCGCCGCGCUCACUGCCCUCCCCCUGGCUCAGGCCGGUGGCACACCGUGCGUGGAGCAGCCAUCGCCGAUUCCUCCUCUUUCUCUACAAGUGACAUCUAUCACAUUAUCUGAGAUCCUCACCGCCCACAACAAUACAGCAUCACUGCAAGCGUCUCAGCAAUUCGGCAUUACCCUGAAGUAAAAAAUCAGUUGGUUUACUUCCUAAGUAGACGUGGCCCAGAACAGCUCUACACGUGUUUGGCACAGAGAAAUGAUGUCUAACCAGGACCUCCUUGCCUUUAAAGACUUACCACAGAAAGGACUACUCAGGUUUUACUAAGCAAAUUACAACAGGGAUCGGCUAGUACUUUGACAUGAAGGCAGUGCAGUAUUGAUACUGAGGAGCUGCUACAGCUCCUAAACUUCCUGCAAGGUUAAAACUCAGCCAUGCCCACGAUCCACACCAGAGCAGAAGCGUGCCUUGUUGCCCGCGGGACAAUGGCUGGUGAACUGAUGGUGGGUUGCUGCCACCCCAGGGAGAAACAGUAUGUUCAGAAACUUGGUGGCCCAUCUGUAUCCACUUCAGACAAACCAGAGCCCUGCUACCUUUAGAAAAACCUACAGAAACGUGUCCUUCCUGCCCACCUGUCAUCGCAGCACUGCUGUGGGAUUGCUGGUUCAAUGGGGCACUACUCACGAUGCAGGGAAUAGUGAAUGACAAGGAAGAUGCCAUUCAUUACUUAGGUUUUCAAUGAAAACCUUUCUUAAUGUGUCAGAGCUAGUGCUGGCUUUCAGGUGUCCCUUUAUUUGUAAAGCUGCAUUGCUUUGGUGCUACCAUUUCGAUCAUAGAAUCAUAGAAUGGCUUAGGUGGGUACCUUUUAGAAUUCUCCAAACACAUUCUAAAAGACUCAUUCUGUAGCAUCGUAAAUGUGCACAAUGCUCUUCAGUCACCAGCAAUGCCUGCAAUCAAAUGUCACUCGGUGGGCAAAGAGGUGACCCCUCACAGCAGAGAGCAGUGGGCUCUGUGCCACACACCCCAAAUGUUAAAAAGGAAAUCUAGCCCAAAUAGUACCAAAUAAUUAUUUUACAUUUUCUUAAAGAUAAUAUUUUUAUAUUAGAUCUUUUUCUUUGCCUUCAAGUUUUCAGGAGCAGAAUAGCCUGCUAUCACUGCUUGCUGGGUACACAGCACCUAUUGGCAUCAGGCCUGACUCAAGGUGGGAGAAAUGGGGAAACCCCACUCAGUGGGAUUGCACUGGACAGAAACAGAGAUGGUGCUGCGUAUCUGCAUACAAGGGAAGGCUUGAUUCCCACCUAGUCCUCAGAAAGCUCAUUGGAUUUCACUACAUGCUAAGAAAGGACCCUGAAAUUCAGAUCAGAACAGAAGGGAGUGAAAUGCUUAUGUGCUAUUUCUCCCAUGCAAGUAAGUCAAACGUUAGCUAGCAGAGGUUUAUCACAGCAGCAACCCUCAAAUCAAGGACACUUGAAGAACAGGAAAACAUUCUGAAAUGACAUUAUUCCAAAGAUGUAAAAAGCUGAGCAACAAAAAUCUGAAACAACAGAAUUGUGAGAGCUUUCAGCUUUGCCAAUGGAAUUACUGUGAUGAAAGUUUCUUGCACAAAUAAACUCACGCUCUCCCCCAAAAUCUUUAGAACAGUAAGAAAAAUUAACUGGGAGUCAGGAAGGAGCUAAAGAAAAGGACUGAUGAGCUGCAUAGCAACAUAAGAAAGACUGCAGCAGGAGAGACCUUCCGUAGGCAUUUGCAUCACAGCUACAAAGAUAGCUGUGCUCAGGUCUAAUGUCAAUUUCUAAACUGUUACAAACAUCUAUUAUACAACAGAGAGACAAUUUCAGGCAUUACAUAUAAAAUCCAAAGCUUACCCCAGAUGUUCAUGUAGAAGAAUAUGCUACAAAUGUGCUACAAUUUCAGAGAUUUUAGUUUUUCCUUAUUCCAUGACCUUCACCUUUCCUGUUCAUAGGCACCAAAUGCGUUUUGGUGUCCUCAUGAGAAAUAUGCACUCUUCUAAUCAAAUAGUACAUGCUCCCAGCAACAGGGUCUCCUAUCUCUCCUUCUGCCAGCAAUACACUAUCAAUUUUCAAUCUAGUGGCUGAAGUUUCGUGCCAGUAACAGAGACUGGGAUAUGUGGGAGUGGUGACUGACCAUGUGGCCAAUGGCGAUCAUGUGACGGAUUAUGUGAAGAAUGUACAUUUACAUAUGAGUUGUAAAUAAGACCAUACUUACAUUAUGUCAAUAAUUAGAAGGGAGCCCUUAAAUUCAUGGGACAAUCUGAAGAAGUUGGGGUAGAAGGGGAACUUGAUUUAGCAGGUUUGUGCUUCUUCUAGGACUGAAGGACAAGAGCUUCCAUAAUUAUAAGUAUAGAUAACACCCCUGGAGAAGUACUGAACCAGAUGCUACCGAACUUAUAUCAAUCUCUGUGUGCCUCAGACCAGGGAAGCGUCAGGAAUCAGAGAUCAUUAGGGUCUUUACUUUGGGAACUUCUAGUCUUUACUUCCUUCACUUGCUUCUUUUAAGAGUUCUGUAAUAUGCUCAACAAUUGCAUUAGAUCUUUUUAUCCUCUCAUAUACAUCUUUAACCAGAAAUAUUACGUUUAUGGCCUUCAUCCAUCUUCUUGGACUUUGAGCAAGCUCCUCAACAAAAAGUGGAGCAGCCCAGCCUUCUUUUUGUCUUUCUCAAACAAGCAAUUCUCUUCACUAACCAUCAUGCAGGUCCUUUCAUUUGGGCCACCAAUUACUUGUGAUGCCAGUAAAAGCGAUGUUCUGUUAUGAAAAUCACAAACUCUUUGUUAGUUCCCUGUCAUCUUGGCACUUCUGGAUCACAGAUGUAUCAGAUAUGUUAGCAGGUGGCCUCAUUUGCUUCUCUCUACUUUUCCAUGAUCUUUACACAGUUUUUCAGACUACAGCACUUUAUGCCAUUGGGAAGGUGUUUUUAUAGCUGUAGACGUAUUUCCUUAAAGGAGAAACAUAAGCUGUUGCAGUGCUCUAUGCUGAUGUAGCAGUAUGUUUGCCAGUGUAUACCAAUUUGAUACAUCCCUCUAUCUAAACAAAUGUACCUGCUCUCUCCUAUCCCAUAUACAGAAGGACACACACACCCUAUAACCAACACCAGCCACCAAUCUGAUUUGAUUAUUGUGGUGGAAAAAUAUUCUCCUAACUAAAAUGGACAUACUGGCACACUGGCUCAAAUAGAAAAUGCCUAAAUUACUUCAUCAUCAAAAUGAUGUAUUUAUGACAUUUCUACGUUAGAUGGAGUGUAGUAUUCUAGAAAAAUAUAACCCAAACUACCGUUCUCUGUCAUAGUGAAUAGCGGAGGUUCACAGCUCACACACUGUCCUUCCCACACCUCACAGAGCUGCGUGCACUGCGGGCUCUCCCCAUGCCACACUGAUGCUCUCCCACCACCAGAGCUGCAGUGCCAACUAGAAUCUUCCAGGCUGCAUCCUGUAGCCCAGGAGAAUCAAAAUGCAGCUUUGGCGUGAGUACAAGGUAAAAUGCCAAGUGACUGUGACAGCAAGUGCAUUACUAUGGUACAACGCGCCUGCAGAUUUAACAGCUUUUGUACCUGAUUCUCAUGUAGCAUUUCCACUUACAAGCAAAAAGGAAUACUGUAAUUAUACUAACAUUAAUUUUCAAGUGUAGUUAAACUUUCCUAAAAUUGAUUUAAAGCAAUGAUAUUUUUAUAGGAAAAUGUUACCCAGAUCUUGAUUAAAUCAAUUUUGAAGCUCACUGAAUUAGAGCUGUCUCCCUGAGCCACACACCACACUAGAUGCUUUAUAAUUUUUUUAAUAUAGCACUUGCUAGCAACUGUGAGUUGCAAGGUAACAAAACCAUACAUAAAUAAUAUACAAGCAAAAAUAUCCUCCCUAAAUAUACCGGCAUAUCAAGAUGAAGAGAAGCCAAAAUGAAAAAAUGGUAUCACAUAAAGCCUACACUCGAGAACACAAACACCAUGUAAGCACAGAUCUAUUUUUAUCAUCCGUGUAAUUGUCAUAAAUAGCGUUUAUCAUAUACCUUCGCUAUCGUCACCUGCAGUCAGACCCGGUGAUCCACCUCUGCUGUGAUUACUUGUACUCAAAUCUCUAAGAAGCCUGCAAACAACUUCCCUUCAAAUCACAACCAAAAAUUAAACUGUGUGCUUAUGAUAGAAACGUUCCUCUCAACACCAGAUUCCCUCUUCUAACUACUAAGACGAUAAGCUACAUUCCAGUUAGAUUUAAAUGUUCCCCAGUGAAGAAAUGAAAAACCCAACCCUGAUGGAUGCUGCAUUCACUUUCUUCUCUCCCACCUGUCUAUUUUCAUUUUCUUCUACUGCUCUUCUUCCUGUAUCCCUUGCAAUCUACUUGUCUGCUGCUCCCUGCAAUUUUUUGCUACACUCAGACUAUUCCUUUUAUAAUACUGUUCUCUGGUAAACAGUCUCCUCUUAUGUGUCAGACUUCCUCUCCCUUUUUUUUAAGCUUGUGCUUUUCCAUACAUCUUUCAUACUUGCAUCUCACUGUUUACACCUUAUAUCUUCUUUCAUGAAGAACCCACCUUGCCUGGAGCUUAUUUUGUUGCCUUUGAUUUUAAGCCAUUAGAUAUGGACAAUGUUUGCAGACAGUCAUGUCUGUAUAUGGUUUCUAAUGGCAAUAGGGCACAUCUUGAUGCUCUGUUCAGACAAAAGUCAUACCAAUUUGAGGCCAG